rnacentral:rRNA from 1 species
AUUGAACGCUGGCGGCAGGCCUAACACAUGCAAGUCGAACGAGUGGCGGACGGGUGAGUAAUGUCUGGGAAACUGCCCGAUGGAGGGGGAUAACUACUGGAAACGGUAGCUAAUACCGCAUACCAUCGGAUGUGCCCAGAUGGGAUUAGCUAGUAGGUGGGGUAACGGCUCACCUAGGCGACGAUCCUUAGCUGGUCUGAGAGGAUGACCAGCCAAACUGGAACUGAGUAAAGGUCCAGACGCCUACGGGAGGCAGCAGUGGGCAAGAUUGCACAAUGGGCUCAAGCCUGAUGCAGCCAGGCCGCGUGUAUGAAGAAGGCGUUCGGGUUGUAAAGUACUUUCAGCGAGGAGGCGUUACUCGCAAAAGAAGCACCAGCUAACGCCGUGCCAGCCGCCGCGGUAAUUC